UAGUUCAGUCGGUUGAGCGUGGUGCUGAUAACACUAAGGUCACAGGUUCAAUUCCUGCU
rnacentral:tRNA from 1 species